UGUCACAGAACCACAAAUGAUGUGGUUAUCUGAAGAAACCUGGGAAAAAUCAGUAGGAGGCAGCACCUUGGAUACAAGUGUCAAAAGAUUUGACAUAGACAGAGCUCCAUCACCUGCUCCCAGUGACCUCUCCUUGAAAACUGACUGGUCAAUGGAUGCAAAUUUAAACUUCAGUGACAAUCAGAGGUUUAAACUGGAGAACAGACCUUCAUCAGUGCUCAGCUACCUGUCAGUGGAGACUGAAUAUUCAGCGGAACACAGCUUCAGCUUGAGUGAAACAGAGUUAUUUCAAAAUCAAAGAUUUGGUCUGUUGAGAGGGUCAUCACCUGUCCCCAAUGAAGCCUCCAUGAAGACUGACUCAUCAAUGAAUAAACUUC